CGUGGGCAACCUACCCUAUAGUUUGGGAUAACUCCGGGAAACCGGGGCUAAUACCGAAUAAUCUUUUGUCCCUCAUGGGACAAUACUGAAAGACGGUUUCGGCUGUCGCUAUAGGAUGGGCCCGCGGCGCAUUAGCUAGUUGGUGAGGUAACGGCUCACCAAGGCAACGAUGCGUAGCCGACCUGAGAGGGUGAUCGGCCACACUGGGACUGAGACACGGCCCAGACUCCUACGGGAGGCAGCAGUAGGGAAUCUUCCACAAUGGGCGAAAGCCUGAUGGAGCAACGCCGCGUGAGUGAAGAAGGAUUUCGGUUCGUAAAACUCUGUUGUAAGGGAAGAACAAGUACAGUAUUAACUGGCUGUACCUUGACGGUACCUUAUUAGAAAGCCACGGCUAACUACGUGCCAGCAGCCGCGGUAAUACGUAGGUGGCAAGCGUUGUCCGGAAUUAUUGGGCGUAAAGCGCGCGCAGGUGGUUUCUUAAGUCUGAUGUGAAAGCCCACGGCUCAACCGUGGAGGGUCAUUGGAAACUGGGAGACUUGAGUGCAGAAGAGGAUAGUGGAAUUCCAAGUGUAGCGGUGAAAUGCGUAGAGAUUUGGAGGAACACCAGUGGCGAAGGCGACUAUCUGGUCUGUAACUGACACUGAGGCGCGAAAGCGUGGGGAGCACACAGGAUUAGAUACCCCUGGUAGUCCACGCCGUAACGAUGAGUGCUAAGUGUUAGGG
rnacentral:rRNA from 1 species